rnacentral:rRNA from 1 species
UACGGGGGGGGUAAGCGUUGUUCGGAAUUACUGGGCGUAAAGGGCUCGUAGGCGGCCAACUAAGUCAGACGUGAAAUCCCUCAGCUUAACUGGGGAACUGCGUCUGAUACUGGAUGGCUUGGAUUCGGGAGAGGAAUGACGGAAUUCCAGGUGUAGCGGUGAAAUGCGUAGAUAUCUGGAGGAACACCGGUGGCGAAGGCGGCAUUCUGGACCGAUAUUGACGCUGAGGAGCGAAAGCCAGGGGGAGCAAACGGGG